CAAUCAUCGGUUUCGAACUUUACGCGAUGGGAAGGCCAUCCUCCACGGUUGAGAUCCCUUACGAACGCCACCGACAAAACGGUCGCCGCCGCACGCCUGACUCCGAUGUCUCGGACGACUAUCACAGCCGCCGCCGCAGCCCAAACUACGACUCGUACGACCGCCACGACGGCCGCCGCCGCCACAGCCGUCGAUCGGAAUCGCCCGAACAAAGAAGCCCUAGAUACACCAACGGAACUUCCAACGAAGACGCUCUGCCUAAGAAAUUCGGCCGCCCAAACGGUGCGUAUCUGGACCGCGACCGCGGGGAUUGGCGGCGCUCCGAUUCGGAGUCGGACGAGGAGUUGAAGGGUUUGAGCUACGAGGAAUACAGAAGGCUCAAGAGGCAGAAGAUGAGGAAGACGCUGAAACACUGUAUCUGGAACGUUACGCCGAGUCCUCCGAGGCGCGAGAACGAAGAUCUGGAAUAUGAUAACAAAGCUGAAGAAAUUCCUGAGAAAUACGGAGAUGACGGCGCUGGCAAGAUCGACAAGGAGGUUAAACCUAGAGGAAAAUCUGAAUUAGCGUCAGAGAAAUCUGAAUCGGACGAUUCUCGUUCGAGGAAGAAGAGAAGAAAGAGUUCUGCUGGUUCUUCCAGGAAAUCGUAUAGCGAUAGCGAAUCGGAAGAAGAAGAAGAAGAUCGUAAUCGGAGAAAGAGUAGGAAGAGUAGGAGGAAAGGGAGCAGGAGGAAGAGAAGGUAUAGCGAUUCAGAUGAGAGUGAAGAGAGCGAAAGUGAUGACUCUGAUGUUAGUGAUGUUUCUGAAGAAGAAGAAGAAGAUCGUAAUAGGAGAAAGAGUAGGAGGAAAGGGGACAAGAAGAAGAGAAGGCAUAGCGAUUCAGAUGAGAGCGAAGAGGGCGAAAGUGAUGACUCAGAUGGUAGUGGAACAAAGAGGAAGCGCUCUUCUUCAGGUUCUGGAUUGAAACGGAGAAGGAGAAGAACAAAGAAAAAGUCUGAAACAGAAAGUGAGGGUUUAUUUUCUGAGGACGAGAAUGGGUCGGGUUCCGGUUCCGGUUCGGGUGGUGCAAAUAGUAAAGCAAUUGCUGAUGAGUUGAAGAAGAUGGAGAUGAAUGCUGAGGCUCUCAAGUUAAAGGAAUUGUUCGAGUCACAAAAGAAACCCGCUUUGGAUAACGAACCUGCGGUUGGGCCAAUGCCCUUGCCUAGAGCUGAGGGGCAUAUAAGCUAUGGUGGGGCGCUUAGGCCCGGUGAAGGUGAUGCCAUUGCGCAGUACGUUCAACAAGGGAAGCGUAUUCCUCGUAGAGGUGAAGUGGGUCUUUCUGCAGAGGAGAUUCAGAAGUUUGAGAGCCUUGGUUAUGUAAUGAGUGGUAGUAGGCAUCAGAGGAUGAAUGCCAUUCGUAUUAGGAAAGAAAACCAGGUUUACAGUGCCGAGGACAAGCGUGCUUUGGCUAUGUUUAACUAUGAAGAGAAGGCCAAAAGGGAGCAUAAGGUUAUGGCUGAUCUGCAGCGCCUCGUGCAGCGCCACAUUGGCCAGGAUGUUGGUCCAACUCAUGAUCCUUUUGCUCCAAAAGCAUCCGAUGGUGCUGAUGCCUGAUAUUCAUGAAUGGACCUGGUUUUUUUGAUUGGUAAUUGCCUGAUGCCCUUUUGGAUGGGAUUGCACAAUUCCAAGUUUUCAUCUUACUUUUUGACUGCUGCUGUUGCUUCUACGUUCUGCUGGAUGGUUUCCCAACAAGAUGUUGCCUGUUUGACCUCUGUUGCUCUUAAGGAUUGAUUAACCAUUGUGUAUUGGGCAUGCGAGGCUCAUUUAUUUUGCUUUUCUAAUUAUUAAUGUCUUAGAUCGAAGUCAAUGUAGCAAUAGUAUUUGUAGUUUCAGUUUUAAUUUUGUAAAUGACUGUAUUGUACUGUUUAGUCCGGUAUUUGAAGUCAAUUUGUGCCGAUGGUGGUAUAACAUCUGAUUGCUAUUUGUGCAAUCAUGAACCUUUUUUACCUUUUUGAUGGUGAAGGUAUACUGAUUACUGAAAUAAUUUGUACUUUGCAAGUUUGCAUGCAUUUUAUUU